UUUAUUAGACAACUCGGCCAAUACAAAAUUAAAACACAAACAUACACAAAACGAUGUGUUGUUUGGAGCCACAGUACAGGCUAAAAGUAUUAGGCCUCCUGUGGUUUUUAAAACUCCCACUUUGCAAAAUGGCUGGAUAGACUUCCAAAAAUCUGUUUAAUUGGAAUUGACACAAAAGGAGACUAUUAAGGAAAGUUGUAUUUUUAAGUAAAACUCAUUUUUUUGUUUUGAUAGAAUGGUGAGAUGUGAACUUUUCAGACAACAAAUAAGAACUUUAAUCAAACAAAUGCAGUUUGGUUGUGGGGAUGGGGGUGGUAGGUGUUGUGUUGGAAUCCAGGUCUUUGUGUACUCCACCCCCAAUGUGACCAUGUUUUAUCUUUUGUGGCGAUACUGUCAGUGAAUGCGUAGCUGGUGUAAUAUCUCUCUCCUUCCCUCCUCCUUCUCAUUCCUUCUCAUCUCCUACACAUUCCUGUCUUUGCUUAUCAUAGAAACAACAAUAAAUAAAUAGUUGCCAAUGACCUCAAGCUGUGAUUAGGAUUUUGCUAUGCUAAAGGUCACUAGAAGGGGGAUUCUGCACUUCCAGCUCAUGCCGUGAGUGAAAGAUUCAUUAUGUUUCAGUCCGCUAUCCAAAAAAAUGAGCACCCCUCAGGCUGCCAGGGUGGUCCCUCAUACUUCUGUCCUCUUUGUUAAGUCUUUUCUUGACAUCACCUGUCAGUCAGUCUCAUUACCCCUCAUGGUCGUUGAUAUCCACCUCUCUGAUGGGGAGGGUCACUGCAAUGUUGGGCAUCUGGAACAAACUCCCAUGUGCAUCAAAAAUGAUGCAUUUCUGUCUACUAAUUUAGUGUCAAUGUCAAGCGGAGGGGUUCUAUUGAUUACCACAAUGUGAGCUUUUGGCACAUAAUGUAAUUCGCGCUGGGGCGAGUUUGAUGAAUUUCUACAACACUCAUGAAAUACAUGGUAGGCUCAUCAUAUAAUUCUACUUCACCGUGGCAGCCAUCUUGCGAUGGUGCUACAUGCAGAAGUAUAAAAUUGAACGGAAUUAAAUGGAAGCACGUGACCACGUUUCCCUUCUAGGCUUCUCUCUUCCGUUAAAAUAAUGGCGAUUGUUAGCGGCAGUCGCAGUGAGCGCGGUAGAGUUCGUUUACAAGUGAGUACUCUGUGAACUCGAUAAUUCGCCUCUUCCUCUUUGGUUCGUCCCAAAUUCGUUGCCUUUUGCGGUUCCUUUUCCGUUAGGACGCUUCGGAGCAGCAGGCCGUUGCCUUCGAGUGAGAGUGCAGGCAACAAGGCACCUGCCUUCCGUUUUAGACACAUCCAUUGCAUACGUACCCCUUAGCUUGCGGCCUCACUGCAAGAUGCACUAUUAUUUUAUUUGAUGGCCCGAUGCACUCACCGUGUCAUAAUUCCCAUUACCUAAUUGUUGCAUUCGAUUUAGGAUUUUUGGGUGGGGUAUGCACUCAGUCUAAUACAAUUGACACAGAUGCUGAACAUCUUGUUCAGCAGAACAACUUUGCCCCUCCCUCACACGGUGCACCUGGUGCUUUAUUCAGUUCUGUGAUUUCAAUGCCAGAUGUACUCAUACUAAAUGAACGUGCUAGUCUAAGUUCUUGUAAUUUUGGUAACAAGGAGUGCAUGACUGUGGUACACAAGAGCCCCUGGUUCACCUGAACACCCUGCCGUGUGCAGCGGCGUGUUUCCUGCAGCCUGUUUCACGAACCGCUGUGAAGGAGGCGCUUACAGGACAGCGCAGGUCAGCAGAAUCGGACCCAGACGCUGCGGGCCAGCUGGGAACCGUACUGCUUCGUACAUGACCCAGGGCACGACUGCAUUUUCGGCGACACAAAGCAUGGCCCUGAUUUAUAUUGCUCAGCAGUCCUUUCUGUUAGCCUUCUCUUAGCAUCCAUAUUUUUUUCUUACUUUCAGGCACUGUGAUGAAGAACAAAAAAAAUUUGAAAAACACUGGCUAAUUGAUCCAUGGUUAAGAGUAAAUCAUAAAAAUACUAAAUGUGAUCAGUGAGGAUAAAUGGGUUGUUUGAGCAAUUUAGUUCUCCCUAUUAGAGGUUUCUGUCCAUAACCAUGUUAAUUGCUUUUAAAAGAAAUAUGGAUGUAUGAAGAUAGUUUUACCAUCAGAUCUCAUCAGAAUAUCUUAGAAUAUGAAUAAAAAUUACAAUUCUACAUUAAUUGGUUGCUCUCAGAAAGGAAA